AUUGAACGCUGGCGGCAGGCUUAACACAUGCAAGUCGAGCGGAGAUGAGGUGCUUGCACCUUAUCUUAGCGGCGGACGGGUGAGUAAUGCUUAGGAAUCUGCCUAUUAGUGGGGGACAACAUUCCGAAAGGAAUGCUAAUACCGCAUACGUCCUACGGGAGAAAGCAGGGGAUCUUCGGACCUUGCGCUAAUAGAUGAGCCUAAGUCGGAAUAGCUAGUUGGUGGGGUAAAGGCUUACCAAGGCGACGAUCUGUAGCGGGUCUGAGCGGAUGAUCCGCCACACUUGGACUGAGACACGGCCCAGACUCCUACGGGAGGCAGCAGUGGGGAAUAUUGGACAAUGGGGGGAACCCUGAUCCAGCCAUGCCGCGUGUGUGAAGAAGGCCUUAUGGUUGUAAAGCACUUUAAGCGAGGAGGAGGCUACUGAGACUAAUACUCUUGGAUAGUGGACGUUACUCGCAGAAUAAGCACCGGCUAACUCUGUGCCAGCAGCCGCGGUAACAC
rnacentral:rRNA from 1 species